UACGUAGGAGGCAAGCGUUAUCCGGAUUUACUGGGCGUAAAGAGGGUGCAGGCGGUUCUCCAAGUCGGAUGUGAAAUUUCCCAGCUUAACUGGGAAGGGUCAUUCGAUACUGUUGAACUAGAGGGCAGCAGAGGGAAGUGGAAUUCCCGGUGUAGUGGUGAAAUGCGUAGAUAUCGGGAGGAACACCAGUGGCGAAGGCGGCUUCCUAGGCUGUUUCUGACGCUGAGGCCCGAAGGCGUGGGGAGCAAACAGGAUUAGAUACCCGCGUA
rnacentral:rRNA from 1 species